UACGGAGGGAGCUAGGCGUUGUUCGGAAUUACUGGGCGUAAAGCGCAACGUAGGCGGCUAUUCAAGUCGGGGGGUGAAAGCCCCGGGGCUCAACCCCGGAACUGCCCUCGAAACUAGAUAGCUAGAAUCUUGGAGAGGCGAGUGGAAUUCCGAGUGUAGAGGUGAAAUUCGUAGAUAUUCGGAAGAACACCAGUGGCGAAGGCGACUCGCUGGACAAGUAUUGACGCUGAGGUGCGAAAGCGUGGGGAGCAAACAGGG
rnacentral:rRNA from 1 species